AGCUGCGGGCACGGCGGGGAGGGGGAGGGGAGAGUCACUGACGGGAGCGAUCACCCCCUCCCUCUCCCUCCCUCCCUCUCCCCCCCCUAACCCCAGCGCUCCCCCCGCCCUCCCGCACGGAGCCCUCCUCCUCCUCCUCCUCCUCCUCCCCGUGCUGCUGCCCCUGCCCCUCUUCUCCCUCCUCCCCCUGCUCCUCCUGCUGCUGCUCUCAGUGCCGCUCUCGCCUCGCUCGCACACGGACGCGCCGGGGCCGGAGCGGGGAAGCGCAGGGCCGGAGCAGGAGCGGGGAGCCCCGCGGGGCGGCUCGGUCGCUGCUGUUUGUCCACACCCGAUACACCGGCCAUCCAUAUAACGGUUCCAGUUAUAAACAUGGACGCGACUUCAGCAGAGGCCCCAGGGAGACCGUCACCUGGUGUAUCCCGAGGGAAGAGGCCUGAGCUCGCCCGCUAUCUGUGUUUCCACCAGAAAACAACGUUUGGGUUUUUUUCCCCUCUCUGUUCAACGCACACAUUUGGAGCGAGCAGGGAACCGUGCGAUCUCUGCACUCACCCCCGUGUGACAACGCACGGCACAACGAUGGAGAAGAGGGAAGGAGGGCGAAAAUGAGAAGAAACAGGGAGCGCGGCCUCCUCCCUUCCAGCCACCGUGCCGCCCCCGGGCAGAGCUGGUCCCGCCACGCGACCCUCCAGCCACCAGGCUGGUUUGCACCAACAGCAACGACCGCAGCACCCCAGUGCCAUGGGGCUUUGCCUCCUCUUGCCCGCAUACUGCCUUGACAUGAUUACGGGGUCACUGCCUUCAAGAGAAAACAAAACGGUUCCCCCCAUCUAACCCUUCAGUCAAAAUAAUCCUAGAAAUUCCCUUUAAUAACAGCAAGUAAUUUUUAAGUGCCUGUUGUCUUUCAGAUACUGAGUGAUAUCACAUAGUCAGAAAAUCAUCAAAAACAUAUAGCAAGUUGGGGUUUUUUUUAAAGCUGAAUGUUCUGAAGCACAAUAUAUCAAAAUCCCACCCUAUGGAUCCCUCCCGCACAGCAGAGCUCUCCUUGUUAAAAUUCUGCGCAGGCACAUUUCCUCCCCUCUCCCCCAGGUACCAUUCUCUCCGUGUGUACUACAGUAACAACUGCGCCUUUACUAAGAUUGCACACAAUAGCCAGGUCUUUGUAGAGGAUAAUUAACAGCCAGCAGUGAAUCUUAGCAUUUAUUCAAUGGCGUAUGAAUGAGUUAUGAAAAUUCUCUUUUACUGGAGAAGUAAUAGGAUAUCAUUCCAUUUGCAUAUGUUUUGCCUCUUGCGUGAUAGCAUAUUUACGGUUUUCACAGUUUAAAGUGAGAAAUAUGUACACAGAUAUUAUACGUUUGUGCUCAGACAGUCCUAGCUCAAUGAGUUUGCCUCUCCUUCUGUCAUUAGCGAAAUCCUCUCUCCAUCUGUAUCUAAUCUAAAUUCCUUGGGUCCACCCUGAGCGGGAUGAGCAGACCUGAGCCCCUCCAGCUGUUCCUGGAGAUGUGAGGGUUCAUUUCUUGAACUGGAUCUCCAUCUCACAUAAAUUAUCUCGAUGAGUGCCCUCGCAUGGGGUACCUGGAGGCAAUGCCAUUGCACUGUUCUGAAGUGCACAGAGCCCCUAAACUUUUGUGCGCUUGUCAUUUCACGGCAGAAAACCUCUAUAUUGUUCUCUGCUAUUUAAUAGCUGAGCGUGUGUGGAAAGGAGCAACUCCCAGUUGUAGUUGGAGCCAUCAUAUGGAAACAUCUCUCAGCUCUAAGGCUAAAAAGCAAUUGCAGUAGAAUUUAAAUGAGAUCAAUGGACUUUUUAAGUAGAAAUACCAAUGGUCAUUGAUAAAAAUGCAAAAGGAGAAAAAUUUGUUUGGAUGCCUAAAAAAAAUAGUAAGAAAUACCACCUAUUCCCAGACUCCACAGCUUCGGUUCUCUUCCAGGCUACGAAGGUAUGACUAAGAGGAGGGACUCAGACCCAGGCUGAGGAAAUCUGCAAUUUGCUGCUGACUUGCUCAACGCCAUUUCCCCGCUUCUUUUCUCCCCAGAAGCGCUGGUGUGCCAGUAGGUUGCACCCAGCUUCUUUUAGGAGCCCCGUCACGACGGACCCACUUGGUGGGGUGCACUGCGGCGUUUAACACGACACGAGCGUUUAACACUGAUGCUUCUGACAGCCAACUUCACAUCAUUCCUAGGAUUGUUACUGAAUUGUCUUUUUCCCCCCCCUCCCCUCUACUGCAACCUAAAAAAUCCCUGUCAGCCCAGUAAGUCAUUCAUGCUGAAGGUCCGUUUCCAAAGCAGCAAUCUUUAGAGAGGACGGGGAAUAAAAACCUUCCCGUCCUCCGCUGCAGCACAGCAGUGCUCAGAAGGUGACCCACAAAGGGAGCCCGCGAGCCUGCGACCUCCCCUGCCCUCUUACAGUAUUUUAAAGGAGUCUUGAAUUUUUUCUUUGAAAACUAGCGGGGUUAUGUGAGAGGUUCUGCAUGACGGUUUGUUUGUUUGUUUGUUUUACUUUUGAAAUGUAGGUCUCAUCUCUCCUGGAAGGGGUCUGGAUAACCGGACAGCUAAUGAAACAAUAAUAUUGCCCAUGUCAGGGGAGUGAAAGGCAAGAGAGGACAAUGCAUUUUUUUAAUCUAUUUUUUGUUUUUAAUCUGACUGCUUAGCAUUCCUUCUUCCUAGUUAACAUCUUCUGGAGCUCAGGCAUAAACUGACACUUUGGAGAAACGAGGUCUCUGUAAAAUUUUCAAGAGCUCCUAGCAUAGCCCCAGUACUAAACACACAUGGCCCAGCCCACAGAAUGCGUUUUUCAGAUAUGACCAACAUCUACCAUUAGGCACAUUUGGGGGCUUAAACAAAGCAAAAAAAGGACAAUGCAGUUUUGUGUUUUAAAUAGCUUUCUACUACCUAUUUAACCAGCAUGCAAAAGAAAACAAUUUAAAAAAAAACAAGCAAUAAUUGCUCUAUAAAUCACCUGUGGACAGCGAAGGUGAUGAAUUGGAGAUGUUUAGUUUUAUUCCUUUGCAGGGAUUUCUUCUCUUCACUGUGAAACACGUGGUCUGCGGUCCUUAGCUAGCAUCUUCUGCAGCAUGGUAUCAAUGACCACAUAGCGUUCUUCAACUGCUGAGCAGAGGGACACAUGGCAAAUACUGCACCUGAUGUUUUUCAUUGCAGAGAUGAGCUAAAAAUGGGUCCGCUUCUGCAAAGGUGCAGAAAGCCACCCGCGGCAGGAGAGGGCUUCCUGAAGUUACAUCAUGUUCAGCAGAUGAUGGUGAUGGAGAUGCACAUAAUGCAGCUGUAACUGUGGGAGGUAAAGCACAGUUCCUGGCCCAGGUGAAAUCUGAAGCGUUUUGCUCAUGUCCUGCGCUGGAUUUUAGGGAGAGCACGACAAACUGAGCGUCUGCAGCUGCAGCCCUGCCGGACGGGCAGCCCGCGCGCCCAGAGCCGCCAACGCGCAGACACCUUUCCCAGCGGCAGCAGCCUCCUCCCAGCCACAAACGCAAGCGUGGAUUGCUACGCUGAACACGUCAGAGCAAGGCAAUAGCUUAAUAACCACGAUAAAGGCUUUUCCAAAUCCGUUCAACAACGGUAAAUUAUUCCGAAAUAAAAUUGCCUCAGCCAAUCAGCUGCAUAGUCCCCGACCCACGGCUACGUGCUUAUUUCUCAGCGAAGCGAAGCUCCGCACCCCGAGUGGCUUCGUGGUUUCUGGACGUUGCAGAUCCAGCACGUAACUCCCCGUCCCCUCAGUCGCUCAGCAGACUAUUCCUAGUGCAGCAGGUCGGACAGCGCGAGGGGAUGCUCCCAGCUCCCCGAACCCCCCAAAACCGGAGGAGAAGGCCGCAGAGCCCCCGCGGCGCCCAGCGCCGGCGCACCCAGGGCCGGGGUCUGGCCAGGAAGGGCAGAGCCUCCCCCGGCACGCGGAGGGGGAGCGGCGGGAGGCGAGCGCUCACCCCCGGGCCCCCGCUCGUCCCCCGCCGCCCGCCAGCACGGCAGGGUAAUUGGCGGGAGCUCCUGAUUAAUUUGAUAACAACCCUCUCCUGCAUUAACGCACGCUCCACAUGCACCGAUGGGUCAAGAGCCCCAACGAGCCCUGGAAGCGGAGGGAAGCACGUGCAGGGAGCCCGCGAACAUCGGCACGCGGUGUGCCGGGGCCUGGGUCGGAAGCACCUUCCGGCGCGUUCUCCUUCACGCAGCAACACCCUUACAGACCUUGGCUCAUCCCGCACCGCCGCUCGAGGCAGCCGCCUUGCGAGAGGCCUGCCCCGAUUUAAAUGUAUUUGCUCUAAGCUGCAACUUAUGCUGCUCCAUGAGAGCAGCCAGCGCACUUCAGCAGUGAAAGGACAGACCGAUUCUGCAGCUUACUAGCAGAGACACCAAAAUCUGAGAGGAAUAAUAUUAGAUUGUGCGCUUGGUCUUCAAUCAAAAGGAAGAUUAUUCCUCAUUAUGUAUUUUUUAUGCAGUGUUUUACACAGCAUGAGGUCAAAUGUACCAGGCAGCAAGGCCUCAUCUUUGCUUCAGAGACUUAUUUUGCAGACUGAAAGAUACCUCCUUAGUCCCUGCAAUUACCUGCUUAAAUCUUCCCUCACUUCUGUCGGCUGUCUCGCCCAUUAAAUAAGUCAGCUUUCUUCUCGGCACUCACAUCCAUCAAGCACCUGUAGACGGACUCGUGAUCCGUUUUGGGGGUCCUCCAAAUUGUUCUCCUGUUCGGUCUGCGAGACCUGAGAGCCGCCUCUUCUUCCCACGCCAGCAUCACUCCUGCCCCGACCACUUCGCGGUGCUUCGUUCGACCGCUCGUCCGCGGGGCCCGGGCUGCUCCCGCCCUCCGCCACGGUCCCCCCCCAGCGCCGGCGGGGCUGCCCGCAGCCCAGGCACCGGCCCCGCGAGCGCCCACCCUGCCGUCGCUGGCUCCCUGCUACCAGCCCCUGCGAAGACAUGUUUUCCCCCAAGAUGGAUCUCAGAGAUGUUUCCUUCCCCUUUUUUGUGUUAUUUCUCUAGCCCUCCAGCAUCCCCAGGGCCAGCUCUUCGAGGCAUACAACUAACACCUCCUUUAUCCCUAGAUGAUUAAUGACAGCAUUAAAGAAAAACCAUCUUAGCGCUGAACUGCGGGCUAGCCCACUACACACCUUCCUGUCACCCGGUCCUUGUCACCCGGUUUGUCCUUCUGCCCAGCGCCCCAACCAUCGCUCGCCAGAGGCAGCAGCAGGGCAGGGAACGGCUCUGCCGUGGAAAAAUCAUGACGAGCUGCUCCUAGUCCACAAAUCAGAUCUCGGGUUUAAUCUGUAAAUGCUGAAGUUGGUCGGCUUCCAGCAUUUAAGAUAGACUUGUUUUAUUUUCUCUUUUUCUGUGUCAAGCUGCAUUGUAUUUUCACUCCUGAAUUUUCUUAGAACUCUUCACAUUCUGCGUUACACCCUAAUCGCAGGGCCAAAACUGGACAAUAAUUGAACCUAUUUUUUUCAAAAUAUAGGCGACUCAUAUCUAAUGAUACGUUAUUAAAGUUCUAAUAGAUAUCGCA